UACGUAGGGUGCAAGCGUUGUCCGGAAUUAUUGGGCGUAAAGAGCUCGUAGGCGGUUUGUCGCGUCUGCUGUGAAAACUCGGGGCUUAACCCCGGGCCUGCAGUGGGUACGGGCAGACUAGAGUGCGGUAGGGGGAGACUGGAAUUCCUGGUGUAGCGGUGAAAUGCGCAGAUAUCAGGAGGAACACCGGUGGCGAAGGCGGGUCUCUGGGCCGAUACUGACGCUGAGGAGCGAAAGCGUGGGGAGCAAACAGG
rnacentral:rRNA from 1 species